rnacentral:rRNA from 1 species
AUGCACGCUGGCGGCGUGCCUAAUACCUGCCAGUCGAGCGAACAGAUGAGGAGCUUGCUCCUCUGACGUUAGCGGCGGACGGGUGAGUAACACGUGGAUAACCUACCUAUAAGACUGGGAUAACUUCGGGAAACCGGAGCUAAUACCGGAUAAUAUAUUGAACCGCAUGGUUCAAUAGUGAAAGACGGUUUUGCUGUCACUUAUAGAUGGAUCCGCGCCGCAUUAGCUAGUUGGUAAGGUAACGGCUUACCAAGGCAACGAUGCGUAGCCGACCUGAGAGGGUGGUCGGCCACACUGGAACUGAGACACGGUCCAGACUCCUACGGGAGGCAGCAGUAGGGAAUCUUCCGCAAUGGGCGAAAGCCUGACGGAGCAACGCCGCGUGAGUGAUGAAGGUCUUCGGAUCGUAAAACUCUGUUAUUAGGGAAGAACAAAUGUGUAAGUAACUAUGCACGUCUUGACGGUACCUAAUCAGAAAGCCACGGCUAACUACGUG